AUGGCAACAAGAGCACCUGGUGCCCUGGAGAAAAAGGGAGACAAGGGUUGUCAUUGCCCUAGUCUUCCUUUUCCAGUUCAACACAGGAUGAGUGUGUCACAUAACUAUCUUCUCUCAUUCAGCUCUCUUUUGUCACCAUAUGUGACAAUGAGCACUUGGGCCAGAAAUAGAGACACUUUCCUCAUCCAGCAGAAUGUGUGCCAUAUUUCCUUCAAGUGCUGAAGGUAAUAUCCUGAGGGGUGUAUUCAAUUGGUGUUAAAGGAUGCAGAGUGCCUCUGAGGAGCAGCACCCUUGGUGUAAAGGAACAUGUAGUCAUUAGGCUAAAGGAAUGAAGAAUGUCUGCUUUUUAUUUUUCCUGCUUGUUUUUAGAUAUUGAGGCAGUAUUGCUGCAGUAUUUUCUGUGCAUCUUAAUCAACUGAUUGCAGGUGGCAUCUGAUAAAGAGUAGUGUGUUGUGUACCCGUAUGUUAUAGGUCAUCUCAAGAGACUGUGAUCAGGAUUUUUAUAAAUGUCAAAUCAUAUUCUUCAGUGCUGAAAGUAAAUACUGAAGGGUGUAAACAUUUCUCAUGUUUUAACUUAAUCUAAUGUUCUCUGCUAUUGUAAUAAUUUAGAAGUCAGUAAAGCAAUUCUCUGACAUCUCAUAAUUUUAAACCUAUAGGACAAAGAAUGUUAUUUAGCAAGUAGACUACUAAAGUCUUCAUUUGCAGUCUCGUUUAGUAAUCUGGAAUG
rnacentral:lncRNA from 1 species